CCUACGGGAGGCAGCAGUGGGGAAUCUUGCGCAAUGGGCGAAAGCCUGACGCAGCAACGCCGCGUGCGGGAUGACGGCCUUCGGGUUGUAAACCGCUUUCAGUGGGGACGAACCAAGACGGUACCCACAGAAGAAGCCCCGGCCAACUACGUGCCAGCAGCCGCGGUAACACGUAGGGGGCGAGCGUUGUCCGGAUUUAUUGGGCGUAAAGAGCUCGUAGGCGGUUCGAUAAGUCGGGUGUGAAACCUCCAGGCUCAACCUGGAGACGCCACCCGAUACUGUCGUGACUAGAGUCCAGUAGGGGAGCGUGGAAUUCCUGGUGUAGCGGUGAAAUGCGCAGAUAUCAGGAGGAACACCAGUGGCGAAGGCGGCGCUCUGGGCUGGAACUGACGCUGAGGAGCGAAAGCGUGGGGAGCGAACAGGAUUAGAUACCCUGGUAGUCCACGCCGUAAACGUUGGGUACUAGGUGUGGGGUCUUAUCAACGGAUUCCGUGCCGCAGCUACGACAUACGUACCCGUCCGUCGGGUAGGUACGGCCGCGACGACGUAACGUACGAAGAAGUAGACGGCGNGAGAACGUGCCGACGGACGACGACGAGGGAGGAGG
rnacentral:rRNA from 1 species